rnacentral:lncRNA from 1 species
UGCUCUUUUUGCUGAGCUCUUUUUUUCUUUUCUUUUAUUUAUUUUUUUUUCUUUCUUUCUUUACUUACUUGUUUUAGAGAUGGGGUCUUGCACUGUUACGCAGGCUGGAGCACAGUGGCAAGUUGGAAUGUUAUUUCUUGAAUAGUCCUUAUCCGAAAUGCUUGGGACUAGAACUUUUUAUUGUACCUGAAUCUUCACAUUUUAGACAUUAUUUAUUAAUUUCCUACUGUGAACAAUGGUAAAUUAGCAUAUUUCCUCUUUCCUUUUCCCUUUCUUCCCGCUACUACCUGAUCUUAGUUACUUAUAGUAUUCGUCGUUGUUUACUUCUGUUAAGUUUAUUUGUACAAGGGGGCCAGGGCAGGAGCGAGGGAGCAGAGGGCCCCAUAUGAGGGCCGUCAGGUAAGGAGAGGGCGGGUCCCCCUUUGUAGGCUGCUGUGGCUCUUACUGUGUGCUUGAGAUGGUGAGCUGCUGAAAAAUCUAAGUGGAACAGUGACCUGACCUGGCUUUCGCAUUCAUCUGCCACUCGUAUUUCUCUCCUUCCUCACUUCCCCUCCUUCCUUUCCCUUCCCACUCUCAUUUUUUAAUCCAUUAGAUGUCAUGUGCUCCUC